rnacentral:rRNA from 1 species
GAUGAACGCUGGCGGCGUGCCUAAUACAUGCAAGUCGAGCGAACAGACGAGGAGCUUGCUCCUCUGACGUUAGCGGCGGACGGGUGAGUAACACGUGGAUAACCUACCUAUAAGACUGGGAUAACUUCGGGAAACCGGAGCUAAUACCGGAUAAUAUAUUGAACCGCAUGGUUCAAUAGUGAAAGACGGUUUUGCUGUCACUUAUAGAUGGAUCCGCGCCGCAUUAGCUAGUUGGUAAGGUAACGGCUUACCAAGGCGACGAUGCGUAGCCGACCUGAGAGGUGGACCGCCCACCGUGAACCUGAGACCCGUCCCGGACUCCACGGGGGGGAGGAGUAGGGAAUUCUUCCGCAAUGGCGGAAGGCCGGAGGAGUCACCCCGGGGGGAGAGAUAAAGGUCUUCGUAUGGAAAACCUUUUUUAUAGGGGAAAAAAAAAUGGUAAAGUAACAAUCCCCGUCUGGAGGGACCCUAAUAAAAAACCCACGGCAAAUUACGGC